UAGGGAAUCUUCGGCAAUGGGGGGAACCCUGACCGAGCAACGCCGCGUGAGUGAAGAAGGUUUUCGGAUCGUAAAGCUCUGUUGUUAAGGAAGAACGAGUGUGAGAAUGGAAAGUUCAUGCUGUGACGGUACUUAACCAGAAAGGGACGGCUAACUACGUGCCAGCAGCCGCGGUAAUACGUAGGUCCCGAGCGUUGUCCGGAUUUAUUGGGCGUAAAGCGAGCGCAGGCGGUCAAUUAAGUCUGAUGUGAAAGCCCCCGGCUCAACCGGGGAGGGUCAUUGGAAACUGGUUGACUUGAGUGCAGAAGAGGAGAGUGGAAUUCCAUGUGUAGCGGUGAAAUGCGUAGAUAUAUGGAGGAACACCGGUGGCGAAAGCGGCUCUCUGGUCUGUAACUGACGCUGAGGCUCGAAAGCGUGGGGAGCGAACAGG
rnacentral:rRNA from 1 species